rnacentral:sRNA from 1 species
AUUUAUUUAUUUUUUCUUUUUUUUUGGUAGAGAUGGGCUUUUCGCCAUGUUGCCCAAGCUGGUCUUGCACUUCUGGGCUGAAGCAAUCCUCUCACCUUGGCCUCCCAGAGCCUUGGGAUUACAGGUGUGAGUCACUACAGUGAUUGUGAAUGCACUGAGCUGGCCUGGAGAACACAUCACCUUGUCCACGUCACAUGCAAAAGGCCCAUGGUGGUGGUGCUUCCUGCACACAAGGGCAUGUAGUGAAUGCCCUUCCCAGGUGGAGACUCCUCAGGGUUGGGAGCCCAGCAACUGCCUUGGCCCUGAGUAAGCCAGGAGUUGCACUGUGACCUGCAAGUGCUUGGGAGCUGCACCCCUGGGUGCCAACAGCUGCAGGAAAAAAACAGACCACAUCUGAUCCUUGGCCCUGAGUCCAGAGUGGGAGGCACCGUGACAACAAUGCGCAGAGCAGGGAAUGCAGGGAGCCAUGGAUAGUGCUGGGGUGCCUCAGGAACCCUGAAGCUGGGCUGAGCCAUGAUGCUGCUGCCAGAACCCCUGCAGAGG